rnacentral:lncRNA from 1 species
CAGAUGUAUUAUUAUCAAUUUCUUCUUCAUUUUGAUAAACAUUUGAACUAUUUUCAUUUUGAUUUUGUGAUCUAUUUCUAGACCUAUAUCUCCUUAGCCAAUUAGAAACAGAAGACAUAAUUGAAAAAAUGAAAUCAAAAUAAAAUUACACAACAAAAAUAGUAAAAUAGAAUAGAUAAGGUUCUUACCAAGCCUACCAACGGGACCACCUAACACGGCUGACCAACGUCUACAGGGCUGACCAACGUCUAUUCAGCAGACAUCCAGGUUAAAACCAAACUCUCCUAUUUUGAACAAUGUCUAUUGUAUAAGAUUAAAUUAAUCUCACUAAAUCACUUAUGGCUCUGAUACCAUAAAAGACUCAAGCAAAAAGCUGAGUCCUCAACCCCUUCAAAUUUCAAAAAAGCCGUUCAAAGUUCUUGCAAACUUCUUCAAAUCAACCCUCUAAAUUCUUUCAAAUAUUUUACUAAGAAUAUUUCCGAUGUUGUUCUUACAAUGGAAACCUCUUGGAUCAAUAGAUAUGGUGGUCUUGAUGAUUGCCUUGAUUCUAUCCUUCCUCAAAACUUUUGGUUCAUGCCUUCAAAUAUCCAAAAAACAAGAGAAUAUUAUGAAACCAUUCUUCUUUUGACUGGUUCUGCAAUUAUUUCUCAUACCCCUGAACCAAGAGAUAAAUCAAAAAUCAUGUUUUCAAAAAUUUCAAUUACAAGAGUUCUGUCUUAUGAAGACUGGGGACAGAAACCUUGGGAAGAAAAGAGACUUCGUCUCUCAAAGACAGAUUUUACCUGUCAAGAAACUUUCAAUUAUUUUGAUUACCAGAAUGCUUGGUAUAAGGUUUUUCUUUUCAGACCUGUAACACAUUCUUGGUUCAUUAUUUUUAAUCAAAAUUGUAACCCUCAUUUUCCGAGUUGGUUUCAAACAUGGUUCUUGUAUCAUGGACUUGAAGAACAAAUUUUGCCCAGU